AUUGAACGCUGGCGGCAGGCCUAACACAUGCAAGUCGAGCGGAUGAAGGGAGCUUGCUCCUGGAUUCAGCGGCGGACGGGUAAGUAAUGCCUAGGAAUCUGCCUGGUAGUGGGGGAUAACGUCCGGAAACGGGCGCUAAUACCGCAUACGUCCUGAGGGAGAAAGUGGGGGAUCUUCGGACCUCACGCUAUCAGAUGAGCCUAGGUCGGAUUAGCUAGUUGGUGGGGUAAAGGCCUACCAAGGCGACGAUCCGUAACUGGUCUGAGAGGAUGAUCAGUCACAGUGGAACUGAGACACGGUCCAGACUCCUACGGGAGGCAGCAGUGGGGAAUAUUGGACAAUGGGCGAAAGCCUGAUCCAGCCAUGCCGCGUGUGUGAAGAAGGUCUUCGGAUUGUAAAGCACUUUAAGUUGGGAGGAAGGGCAGUAAGUUAAUACCUUGCUGUUUUGACGUUACCAACAGAAUAAGCACCGGCUAACUUCGUG
rnacentral:rRNA from 1 species